AUCUGCCGAGCAAUGGAUCAAUACAAAUCUGUCUAUUUGUAAUACCAUAUAUACGAAAACCUCUGAUGACAUAAACGGUGACACAGGUAAUUCCAGAGGUCUGAAUCCCCUGUAAAAUGGAUGUAUAGAAAUCUGUCUCCCUGUCAUACCAGAUGUAGGAAAACUAAUGAUGACUGGAACGAUGACACAUGUACGCCCUGAAGUCGGAAUCCACUGUAUAAUGGAUCUAUAGAAAUCUGUCUACCUGUCAUACCAGAUAUACGAAAACUAAUGAUAACUUGAACGGUGACACAUGUACGCCCUGAAGUCUGAAUCCACUGUAUAAUAUAUCUAUAGAAAUCUGUCUUAACGUUGUAUCAUACAAAGAGUUAAGUAUGAUGACAAGAGGGUCAAUCUUGCUAAGUCCUUAGGUCUGAAUCCCCUGGGUAAUAUAUCUAUAAAAAUCUGUCUUCCUGUGAUAUUAUAAAAAGGGUUAAGUAUGAUGACAAGAAGGUCAAUGUUGCAUAGUCCUGAGUUCUGAAUUUCCUGUAUAAUGGAUCUAAAGAAAUCUGUCUUAACGUCGUAUCAUACAAAGGGUUAAAUAUGAUGACAAGAGGGUCAAUGUUGCUAAGUCCUUAGGUCUGAAUCCCCUGGAUAAUAUAUCUAUAGAAAUCUGUCUUCCUGUGAUAUCAUAUAAAGGGUUAAGUAUGAUGACAAGAGGGUCAAUGUUGCAUAGUCCUUAGGCCUGAUUCCCCUGUAUAAUGGAUCUAUAGAAACAUGUCUUAACUUCGUAUCAUACAAAGGGUUAAGUAUGAUGACAAGAAGGUCAAUGUUGCUAAGUCUUUAGAUCUGAAUCCCCUGUAUAAUGGAUCUAUAGAAAUCUGUCUUCCUGUGAUAUCAUAUAAAGGGUUGAGUAUGGUGACAAGAGGGUCAAUGUUGCAUAGUCCUUAGGUCUGAUUCCCAUGUAUAAUGGAUCUAUAGAAAUAUGUCUUCACGUCGUAUCAUACAAAGGGUUAAGUAUGAUGACAAGAGGGUCAAUAUUGAUAAGUCCUUAGGUCUGAAUCCCCUGUAUAAUGGAUCUAUGGAAAUCUGUCUUGCUGUGAUAUUAUAAAUGGUUAAGUAUAUUGACAAGAGGGUCAAUGUUGCAUAGUCCUUAGGUCUGAUUCCCCUGUAUAAUGGAUCUAUAGAAAUAUGACUUAUCGUCGUAUCAUAUAAAGGGUAAGUAUGAUGACAAGAGGGUCAAUGUUGUUAAAGCCUUAGGUGCGAGUUUGCUGUAUAAUGGAUCUAUAUAAAUGUGUCGACCUGUCAUACUAGAUGUAAGAAAAAUUAUGAUGACAAGAUGGACAAUAUAGGUAGCGUUAGAUAUAGAGAAA